ACCAUCCUUGUCUUGGGGUUGCGCUACUGUUCAAUGAGCGUGUAGCGAGGACAGUGCUGCUAACACCGACACAACACUGACGCAUCCCUGGGGCUUCAGCCCCAAUGUGGUGCAAUUUUUGGAACC
rnacentral:ncRNA from 1 species